rnacentral:lncRNA from 1 species
AAAAAAAUCCCAUAAAUACUAGUUUAACACAUUUUGAUUUCAAGUGUAAUGUAGGUAUUUAAUUUCACUUACUAUUUCAGCCUCUUUUCUCCAGUUAAUAUCCUCUGUUUAUAAAUAAUAAUAAUAAUAAAAAGCAUUAUAAAACUUGCCUCUUUUUUUUUUCUUUUCUUUUUUAACAGGAGCAAGAGAAAAAUGUUGAUACUUACGCAGCUGCUAAUUCUGAGAAGGCUGUGGAAGGGGCUAUUAUGCAAGCCUUGGAAGCAGCUCGUUUUGCGAAGGUUGAGAAGGAUAUUGAAGGAGCUAGUUACGGAGGAGGUGAUGGAAAGAAGGAAUGAUGGUAUGUUUGUGUUAAUGCUCGUGUUCUUAGUUCUUACUGUUGAAGG